ACGAGCACCGAUCGGGGAAGGGUAAGAACCUUCGACAAGGUUCGAGUCUCAUGAAAUGAGACAACGCGCUUUAGCGCGGCCCAGCGGGUGAGGAACGAAGUGACGAAUAAUCCUUCCCCCACCACCA
rnacentral:sRNA from 1 species